UCCUUAGGUCAGUGCAGAGUCCAGCUCCAAACCCAAACAAAACCCUAGAACCUGACUAGGUGUUAUGGUGCAUUCUUGUAAUCCUAGCACUCUGGAGAUGGAGGCAGGAGGACUGCAAAUCUGAGCCUAGCCUGGGCAAUUUAGUGUCUUAGAAGACCCUGCAUUGAAACAAGUUGUUGAUGGAGAUUGGAUGGAGGGGAGUAGUGAGGCAUGACUGCCACGGUCCGGGAGGAUGGGAUGAGGGUCUGAAGCAGUGACUUCUUUACAAAUCACAGCAAAAGCCCAAUCAGCCCAAGCUGUUUACUUUUUCUGCAUCAUCCUCCAUCCCACCUCACAGUCAGACCUGUUGCCUCUGCCUUGUGUGUGCCUCCAUUCCUGUCUUGGAAACAUCUGCUCAUCCUACAGAACGUAGCUCCAUCUUCACCUCCUCUGUGAAGCCCUCAGUCAGAAUGUAGGUCCCCUGAUGUCCUCGAGGCCUUUGCUACAUCAUUUUGUAACAUUCUGCCAAGGUUCUCUGUGCCUGUUCCUCUCCAUGUGGGCUGGGUAAGCCCACAGCAGGUUUGGUGAAUGCACCGAGGGCCACCUUGCCACAUCCAAAUAGCCUUUUUUGUUUGUCUCUCUGUCUUUUUGAUACAUGGUCAUGGUAUGUAGUUCAGACUGGCCUUGAACUAACCAUGUAGUCCAAGCUGACCUUGAAUUCCUGGUCAUUCCCGUCUCAGCCUCCUAAAUUCUGGGAUUACAGAAAUGUGUGCCACCAUGCCUGUUCCAACAUCUUUUGUGUCCUCUAACACCACAUCAUCCCAGGCAAGGUACCUAUAUUUGAAAAAAAAUUUAAAAGCAGAAUAUAAUAUAUAUAGAUUUUUUCAGUAGAAUAUGUUUGAAAUUUUAAGCUUCAGAACAUGACAAAAAAGUUGUUUUCCCAGCGUAUAUUAAUCAAAAACUUGCAUCUUGCCAAUCAAGAAAAAGAUGAAGGGAAGAAUUAAUUGGCAAGCAUCACCUGUAAGGUUUGUUUUGAACUUGGAAUCUCACUAGAUCCUUGAGAUAACACUCUGAGAGAUUACUACAAAUCAGAUAAAUGAGGUUCAGAGGAGUUGUGACCUGCCCAAAGUCUCACAGCUAGCCAAAGCCAGAAUUGGAUUCAAACCCCAAGGAGCCUGCCUUGGGGUCCCAGCUAUGCUGUUACCAUUUGCUUUUAAUCAUCAUGAGAUGACAGCAUGAUCUGGAGGAAUCUGGAGCUGGCUUCAGUCAUCCCAGAGACUGGGUUCUCAAAUAUGCUUUCUGUACAGCUAGCAGGAGCCUAUGGGAGCCUAAGGAAAACCUAAGGAAGCAUCGAGCCUCCAGCAGGCGCCCAGGGCAGGUUAUCUUCCUGCCCAGUUGAUUCGAGUCCAGAUUCUUUCAACUCAGUCAUUCAAGAUAGGGCUUCUUCUGGAAGGAAUGUGGCGUGAGCAUGAGGAGGACAGUUCUGGCCAGCCAAAAAGGAAGAGGGCAUCAGUCCCACCCUUUCCUCUGAGGCCAGGCCCUGGGCUUUUGCCCAAGGAACCCUCAUCUGAUCGAAAAAGCUCCAAGGCCUCCUGUAGCUUGUUCACUUGGUCACUAGGGCUGCCUCAGUGCUGCACCAUGGCCUCAGAUGCCCUGGCUCUUUGAGCCCAGCCUGACAGCUCCUGGCCUCUUCAUUCUGUGACUCUCACAGCUCCUCAGCAAUCAGAGUAGUGUUUUCUGUGUCUUCUGGGCAAAAGGAACUUGAACUUGGAAGAGUCUAAGAUGAGAAGACCCUGAGACAGUGGUUGGUGGUGGGCUGGCAGGGGCAGGACAGGCAGCCCUGAGGACUCUGGGCAUUCCACAUGUCCUCCAGUGCCCUGAGAACUGAGGCUUAGAAGUCAGAUGCAUCAGUCAGCCCUGCAGAGGAGGCCUCUGUUUGGAUUAGCCCACAGCCUCAUGAGAUCAGAUGAGUUAGUCUUUGGGCCUCUCCUGCCCACUUGUUGCCCAACCAAUAUCCAGGUAGGAAUUCACAGCCUCAAGUGACUUCAAGCACCCUCUAGUACUUCCCCAAAGAGCCUCUUUGGGAACCUCAAGAAUUCUUCCUUCACAUUUUCUGUUCUUCUUUUCUCCACAUGUCACACAAAUGAAUGAGACUGGGAACAAGCUGUGAUGUCUGCAUCUCAUCAGCUCUUCCAGGAAUCCCUUCCUCUAGGGCCUGCCCAACCUUUCUUUGUUCAAUCUGGUGAUUUGCUGGAGCAUCAUCACCCAGAGUGUAUCUUGUGAUUUUUUUUUUUUUUUUU